GUGGCACGGGGAAGAGAGUAUCGUCUUGUCUAUUAUUUUUUUUAAUAGAUUAAAAACAUGAUAAGUUAACGAAAUCUGAUUCUGAGUGAAACGAUGAAUGUAUUGAUUUUACAAUGAUAUCACAUAUGUGUGUUUUUUUUAUUUUUGUGUCUGAGUACACAAUAAGUAGUCGAAUAAUGCUUCGAUUUUCAACUUCAGUAUCUUGUUCGAUGGGAAAGUGAAUAUUGUUGGUGCAUUUGGGAGGUCAAAAUUUAAAAUUGAAAAUAGUUUUCAAAAGCGCCGGGAAAAACAACAUAAAAAUUAAGAAAAAACGGGGAUUUUUACACAAAAUCGAAUUUUAGUUUUUGGUGUAACUUUAAAACAAAUGAUAUAUGUCGCAUCCACAUAGUGAAACCACUCAUUUCAUGAACUGGAUAUCCAGAUAGUGAAAUUCGUCCAGAUUGUGAAUUUUGACGAAAAUACAUUAUAUGGACAUCCAUUUCAUGAAAUGGACAAUACCUAUAUCGUGUACUUUGUGUAAUUAUUAUUUUAUUAUAUAAUGGUUCAUAAACUAACAUUAUACAUUUAUACGUAUAUUAUAUUUAAUUUUUCACGAUUGAUUACUAUAGGUUAUAAUAUUUUUAUUUUAUUUUAUGCCUUAUCCGUAAUCUAUAUUAUAUGAGGCUAUUAGAGAGAUAUCAAAUUUAAUUUCGGUAAUUCCACAUCCGAUAUCAUAUGAAUGUUUCAGUUGACAGUUGACUGAUACCUAUGUAACUCCUAAGUUGUUCAAAAAAUAACAUUUAGUGAGUGUUUGUGUAUAACACAGUUACUAUUGUGUUUGCAGUUUAUGCGUGUACCUAUUUAUUAUUUCAUAUAGCAACUUUUAAUAAAAAUGGAAGAAAAGAACGUAUUUUAUGAAAAGCUAGAUGAAUUUUAUAAAUUGAAAUCUAAAAAAAAACCGUUCCCUAAAUAUGUCCAAUGACAGAUGAUUGCUGAAAUAGAAAUGGCUAAAAUCAAAAUUGGUAAAGAAGAUCGAUGACAAUACUAUCUACUAUCUACAUAUGAUGUAUUAAGUGUUGCAGAAAAAAAGUUUUUAAUACACAAACAAAAUGCAGAUGAUGAAAAAAUAAGGUGAAUUUGGCAGGUGGUGUUAUCCAUAUUGGAAUGAAAACGCGUUCAACGGAGUGAAACCCGUGAACUGUUAACUGUUUACAUAACUAAAAACGCGAUAACAGAGCGGACAAUCGUACAUAUGUGCAGGUUAACACCGAACUGAUAUGAAGCUUAAGUCUAUGGUGUUACUUACUCCUGCAAAUCCAACGAAGGGUGUAGAGUGCGCGCGUCGCUGGCCAUUGCCGUGAUGGCGUCCCUGAGUGAUGAAGACCACGGGCGGAAUUCAGCCGAUGACUUUGACGACGUCCACGC